rnacentral:tRNA from 1 species
GUGGUGGCUCAGUGGUAGAGUGUUCACCUAGCAUGUGUGAGGCACUGGGUUCAAUUCUCAGCACCACA